GAUGAACGCUGGCGGCGUGCCUAACACAUGCAAGUCGAGCGAUUUACUUCGGUAAAGAGCGGCGGACGGGUGAGUAACGCGUGGGUAACCUGCCCUGUACACACGGAUAACAUACCGAAAGGUAUGCUAAUACGAGAUAAUAUGCUUUUAUCGCAUGGUAGAAGUAUCAAAGCUGUUGCGGUACAGGAUGGACCCGCGUCUGAUUAGCUAGUUGGUAAGGUAACGGCUUACCAAGGCGACGAUCAGUAGCCGACCUGAGAGGGUGAUCGGCCACAUUGGAACUGAGACACGGUCCAAACUCCUACGGGGGGCAGCAGUGGGGAUUAUUGCACAAUGGGCGAAAGCCUGAUGCAGCAUCGCCGCGUGAGCGAUGAAGGCCUUCGUGUCGUAAAGCUCUGUCCUCAAGGAAGAUAAUGACGGUACUUGAGGAGGAAGCCCCGGCUAACUACGUGCCAGCCGCCGCCGUAA
rnacentral:rRNA from 1 species